rnacentral:lncRNA from 1 species
CACCUGCCCUGAGAGCCCUGCCCAGCUCGGCUGGUGAAGACCCCCCACCCCCUGCCACCCUCUCCUGUGGGCUCCUCAAAGCCACCCCCUCUGGAUCUAAUAGCAGCACCACUCGGAGAGCAUGCCCUUCGCUCCAGGGGCUUCAGAGCAUUUCUUUCCGCACAAACCUAACUAGACCUCCAGUGACACCAGCUUGGGUCAAGCCACUACCUUUGCUCCAGGUCGGAGCCUUGUGAUUGCCACCCACCUCUCACUGCCAUGUGAAUGGGCCGCUCAAAGGUGGCAGGUCCCUGACAUAUGUGGCCAUGGUGCUCCAUGGUGCAGUUGUAGGAGGACCUGUGACCCUGCCACCUGCCUCCCACUCCUCCCUUUAUGUACCUGAGCUGCCUGUGCCAGCCUAGAAUGCCACUCGCCCCCAUGCCUAGCAUGGCUCCCGGCACAGACAGGACACCUGCAGAUGAGUGCUGAAUGAAGAGACCUCCGAGGAUGCUUGGUGACAUGGGGCUUUGGAGCCUGGUCUGGCACUUGGCUCUUUGGUGCUCCCUGCCCCAGGAGAGGACGUGACCGUGUGAAGUAGCAGGAAGUAGAAGGGGCCUCUGCUUGACUUUUAUAGGAAACAGCUUUGGAAUUAGGGGAAACUAUAAAGGCAACAGAUAUAGAAAAACACCCUGGGAGAGUAAAAACAGUCCCACCCCAUUGACUAGCAAAGUCCUCUCUGCAUGGAAGGAAGCCGGGCUGUGUGAGGGCCAUGGCUCCUCAUGGGGCUGGAUCCAGGGGUGGGGUGGGGGGACACGCACCUUCUCUUCUAAGGAGGCAGCAAGGCCCAGAGAGGGGAAAGGUUUGUGUGUUGUGACAGGGUCACAAGUCUCAGACAUCCUCAUUGUGGCCUUUCUGCCCCAUCAGACUGUGG